rnacentral:piRNA from 1 species
UGUCUGUUGUGAUCUGACGAGCAGCUCUUC